rnacentral:pre_miRNA from 1 species
AAAUUACUCCCUUCAUCUGAAAAUAGUUGUCAUCAAAAUAAAUAAAAGGAAAUGUAUCUAGGUGUAUAUUAGUUAGAUACAUCAUUUUUUAUUCAUUUUGAUGACAAGUAUUUCUAAACUGAGGGACUAGGAA